ensembl:snRNA U6 U6 spliceosomal RNA
GUGCUCGCUUGGGCAGCACAUAUGCUAAAAUUGGAACAAUACGGAGAAGGUUAGCAUGGCCCCUGCACAAGGAUGACAUGCAAAUUCCUGAAGCAUUCCAUAUCAUA